rnacentral:snRNA from 1 species
UUAGUUCGGCAGUACAUAUACUAAAAUUGGAACAAUACAGAGAUUGGCAUGGCCCCUACAUAAGGAUGACAAGCAAAUUCAUGAAGCAUUCCAUAUUUUU